CCGAUCUUAGCUCAGUUGGUAGAGCGGAGGACUGUAGUAGGAGUAUUGAUCCUUAUUGCCAUCCUUAGGUCGUUGGUUCGAAUCCGGCAGGUCGGA
rnacentral:tRNA from 1 species